rnacentral:piRNA from 2 species
UAGAGAAUGGGGCAGAGGCCUGGGA